CAUGCAAGUCGAACGGUAACAGGGGUGGUUUACCACCUGCUGACGAGUGGCGCACGGGUGAGUAACGCGUAGGUAACCUGCCAUGAGGUUCGGGAUAGCCGUACGAAAGUAUGAUUAAUACCGGAUGUGCUCUUUUGAGUAAAGAUUUAUCGCCUUAUGAUGGGCCUGCGUUAGAUUAGCUUGUUGGUAAGGUAACGGCUUACCAAGGCAACGAUCUAUAGCCGGGUUGAGAGACCGACCGGCCACAUUGGAACUGAGACACGGUCCAGACUCCUACGGGAGGCAGCAGCUAAGAAUCUUCCACAAUGGACGAAAGUCUGACGGAGCGACGCCGCGUUUGAAUGAUGAAGGCCCUUAUGGNGNNUUGUAAAAUUCCCUUUUAUAGAAAGGACGAANNNUGUAUGGCGUAGGGGCCAUGNNUUGACNNGGUGCUCUAUGAAUAAGGUCCGGCUAACUACGUGCCAGCAGCCGCGGUAAUACGUAGGGACCGAGCGUUGUUCGGAAUUAUUGGGCGUAAAGGGUACGUAGGCGGUCUAAUAAGUCAGAUGUGAAAACCUCGGGCUCAACCUGAGGCCUGCGUCUGAUACUGUUAGGCUAGAGUUAUGGAGAGGAAGGCGGAAUUCCUGGUGUAGGGGUGAAAUCUAUAGAUAUCAGGAAGAACAUCGGUAGCGAAGGCUGCCUUCUGGACAUAAACUGACGCUGAUGUACGAAAGUUAGGGUAGCAAACAGGAUUAGAGACCCUGGUAGUCCUAACUGUAAACGUUGUAUACUAGGUGGUGGCAUUUUGAUCGUGUCACUGCCGUAGCUAACGCAUUAAGUAUACCGCCUGGGGAGUAUGCCGGCAACGGUGAAACUCAAAGGAAUUGACGGGGGCCCGCACAAGCAGUGGAGCAUGUUGUUUAAUUCGAUGAUACGCGAGGAACCUUACCAGGUCUUGACAUAUACCUGAAUGUUGUAGAAAUACAUCAGCCUUCGGGCAGGUAUACAGGUGCUGCAUGGUUGUCGUCAGCUCGUGCCGUGAGGUGUUGGGUUAAGUCCCGCAACGAGCGCAACCCUUAUUCUUUGUUGCUAACAGUUCGGCUGAGCACUCUAAGGAGACUGCCGGUGACAAACCGGAGGAAGGUGGGGAUGACGUCAAAUCAUCACGGCCCUUAUGACCUGGGCUACAAACGUGCUACAAUGGGCGGCACAAAGAGUUGCGAUACCGCGAGGGUGAGCUAAUCUCAAAAAACCGUCCUCAGUUCGGAUUGGAGUCUGAAACUCGACUCCAUGAAGCUGGAAUUGCUAGUAAUCGCAUAUCAGCCAUGAUGCGGUGAUACGUUCCCGGGCCUUGUACACACCGCCCGUCACAUCACCCGAGUUGAUUAUACCCGACGUGGCCGAGCUAACCCCUUUUGGGGAGGCAGGUUCCUAAGGUAUGGUUGUAAGGGGGAUGAAG
rnacentral:rRNA from 1 species